rnacentral:tRNA from 1 species
GGUCGCUUAGCUCAGUUGGUUAGAGCGUGGUGCUAAUAACGCCAAGGUCGGCGGUUCGACCCCGCCAGUGAUCA